rnacentral:rRNA from 1 species
UACGUAGGGGGCGAGCGUUGUCCGCAUUUACUGGGCGUAAAGCGCGCGUAGGCAGUCAUUUAAGUCUGGGGUGAAAGGUUCAACGCUCAACGUGAACAGUGCCUUGGAUACUGGGUGACUUGAGUUCGGGAGGGGGCAGUGGAAUUCCAGGUGUAGCGGUGAAAUGCGUAGAUAUCUGGAGGAACACCGAUGGCGAAGGCAGCUGCCUGGCCCAGAACUGACGCUGAGGUGCGAAAGCGUGGGGAGCGAACGGG